rnacentral:rRNA from 1 species
CGAACGCUGGCGGCGUGCUUAACACAUGCACAUCGAACGGUGAAGCGAGUGCUUGCACUCGUGGAUCAGUGGCGAACGGGUGAGUAACACGUGAGUAACCUGCCCAUCACUCUGGGAUAAGCACUGGAAACGGUGUCUAAUACUGGAUACGACCAACCCUUGCAUGGGGUGUUGGUGGAAAGAUUUAUCGGUGAUGGAUGGACUCGCGGCCUAUCAGCUUGUUGGCGGGGUAAUGGCCCACCAAGGCGACGACGGGUAGCCGGCCUGAGAGGGUGACCGGCCACACUGGGACUGAGACACGGCCCAGACUCCUACGGGAGGCAGCAGUGGGGAAUAUUGCACAAUGGGCGAAAGCCUGAUGCAGCGACGCCGCGUGAGGGAUGAAGGCCUUCGGGUUGUAAACCUCUUUCAGCAGGGAAGAAGCGAAAGUGACGGUACCUGCAGAAGAAGCACCGGCUAACUACGUG